rnacentral:rRNA from 1 species
AACGAACGCUGGCGGCAGGCCUAACACAUGCAAGUCGAGCGGACCCUUCGGGGUUAGCGGCGGACGGGUGAGUAACGCGUGGGAAUAUGCCCUUCUCUACGGAAUAGUCUCGGGAAACUGGGGGUAAUACCGUAUACGCCCUUUGGGGGAAAGGAUUUAUCGGAGAAGGAUUAGCCCGCGUUGGAUUAGGUAGUUGGUGGGGUAAUGGCCUACCAAGCCGACGAUCCAUAGCUGGUUUUGAGAGG